rnacentral:rRNA from 1 species
GGGUUUGCAGCUGGCUCUCCGGAGUAUGUGCUCGCCUCGCUCAUCCACUCUACACCUGUGCACUAUCUGUGGGCUGGGGUUAACGCCUUGGCCUACGUCUUCACACAAACAAUAUGUAUCAGAAUGUAACACCGCGUCUAACGCAAUAAUACAACUUUCAACAACGGAUCUCUUGGCUCUCGCAUCGAUGAAGAACGCAGCGAAAUGCGAUAAGUAAUGUGAAUUGCAGAAUUCAGUGAAUCAUCGAAUCUUUGAACGCACCUUGCGCUCCUUGGUAUUCCGAGGAGCAUGCCUGUUUGAGCGUCGUGAAUCUCUCAACCCACAAAUUGUUUGUUCAGUUUGUGCGGCUUGGACUUGGAGGCAUUGCUGGCGAUGGUCAGCUCCUCUCAAAUGUAUUAGCUGGGCUUAGCUCGGUGGAACGGUUAGUGUGAUAAUUAUCUGCGCUGCCUACUACAUCGGAUCCCGCUUCUAAUCGUCCGCAAGGACAAUUCACUUUGAAUCUGACCUCAAAUCAGGUAGGACUACCCGCUGAACUUAG